GGAUUAGAUACCCUGGUAGUCCACGCCGUAAACGAUGACAACUAGCUGUUGGGAAGCUAUGCUUUUCAGUGGCGCAGCUAACGUUUUAAGUUGUCCGCCUGGGGAGUACGGCCGCAAGGUUAAAACUCAAAUGAAUUGACGGGGACCCGCACAAGUAGUGGAGCAUGUGGUUUAAUUCGAUGCAACGCGAAAAACCUUACCUACUCUUGACAUACUUGGAAGCUCUUGUAAUGAGAGUGUGCUUUUAGAGCCAAGAUACAGGUGCUGCAUGGCUGUCGUCAGCUCGUGCUG
rnacentral:rRNA from 1 species